rnacentral:rRNA from 1 species
CAGCCGCCGCGGGAAUACGUAGUGGGCAAGCGUUGUCCGGAAUCAUUGGGCGUAAAGCGCGUGUAGGCGGCUCGAUAAGUCUGCUGUGAAAGCUCAGGGCUCAACCCUGAAAUGCCGAUGGAAACUGUCGAGCUUGAGUCCGGAAGAGGCAAGUGGAAUUCCUGGUGUAGCGGUGAAAUGCGCAGAUAUCAGGAGGAACACCAAUGGCGAAGGCAGCUUGCUGGGACGGUACUGACGCUGAGACGCGAAAGCGUGGGGAGCAAACAGGAUUAGAUACCCCGGUAGUCCCUGUCUCUUAUAC